rnacentral:rRNA from 1 species
AUGGGUCAGCGACUUAUAUUCUGUAGCAAGGUUAACCGAAUAGGGGAGCCGAAGGGAAACCGAGUCUUAACUGGGCGUUAAGUUGCAGGGUAUAGACCCGAAACCCGGUGAUCUAGCCAUGGGCAGGUUGAAGGUUGGGUAACACUAACUGGAGGACCGAACCGACUAAUGUUGAAAAAUUAGCGGAUGACUUGUGGCUGGGGGUGAAAGGCCAAUCAAACCGGGAGAUAGCUGGUUCUCCCCGAAAGCUAUUUAGGUAGCGCCUCGUGAAUUCAUCUCCGGGGGUAGAGCACUGUUUCGGCAAGGGGGUCAUCCCGACUUACCAACCCGAUGCAAACUGCGAAUACCGGAGAAUGUUAUCACGGGAGACACACGGCGGGUGCUAACGUCCGUCGUGAAGAGGGAAACAACCCAGACCGCCAGCUAAGGUCCCAAAGUCAUGGUUAAGUGGGAAACGAUGUGGGAAGGCCCAGACAGCCAGGAUGUUGGCUUAGAAGCAGCCAUCAUUUAAAGAAAGCGUAAUAGCUCACUGGUCGAGUCGGCCUGCGCGGAAGAUGUAACGGGGCUAAACCAUGCACCGAAGCUGCGGCAGCGACGCUUAUGCGUUGUUGGGUAGGGGAGCGUUCUGUAAGCCUGCGAAGGUGUGCUGUGAGGCAUGCUGGAGGUAUCAGAAGUGCGAAUGCUGACAUAAGUAACGAUAAAGCGGGUGAAAAGCCCGCUCGCCGGAAGACCAAGGGUUCCUGUCCAACGUUAAUCGGGGCAGGGUGAGUCGACCCCUAAGGCGAGGCCGAAAGGCGUAGUCGAUGGGAAACAGGUUAAUAUUCCUGUACUUGGUGUUACUGCGAAGGGGGGACGGAGAAGGCUAUGUUGGCCGGGCGACGGUUGUCCCGGUUUAAGCGUGUAGGCUGGU